rnacentral:rRNA from 1 species
GACGAACGCUGGCGGCGUGCUUAACACAUGCAAGUCGAACGGAAAGGCCUGCUUUCCCUUGUGGAUUGCGGGUACUCGAGUGGCGAACGGGUGAGUAACACGUGAGUGAUCUGCCCCCAACUUGGGUAUAAGCCUGGGAAACUGGGUCUAAUUCCCGAUAGGACUGCAGGGUGGUGCCUGUGGUGGAAAACGAUUUUCUAGUGGUUGGGGAUGAGCUCGCGGCCUAUCAGCGUGUUGGUGGGGUAAUGGCCUACCAAGGCGGCGACGGGUAGCCGGCCUGAGAGGGUGGACGGCCACAUUGGGACUGAGAUACGGCCCAGACUCCUACGGGAGGCAGCAGUGGGGAAUAUUGCACAAUGGGCGGAAGCCUGAUGCAGCGACGCCGCGUGGGGGAUGACGGCCUUCGGGUUGUAAACUCCUUUCGACCGCGAGGAAGCCACCUGGUUGGAAGGGUGGUGACGGUAGUGGUAGAAGAAGCACCGGCUAACUACGUG